AUAGUUCUCAUAGUUCUAACCAUUAAUUUCCAGCCCUGCUCUCAUCCAUAAUGCUUGCUUUUUGCUUCCAUCAGAUGCUUCGAGGACAAAUCAGACCUGAGGAUUCUGAACAGGCUCCAUGGAAAAGUCCCUGUUCCAGAGGCCUAGCUGUCACAAUCCUGAUUUCUAUACCUCUUCAGUCUAGAUGCUUGCAUCGCAGGGAGACAAGAACAGCCAUUCAUGUCUUUUGAAUGCAGGAGACUUUGAACAUUGGCUCACCCCAAACAUGUAUGCUGUAAUGUCUUGGAAAUGGGAAUAAUAUCCCUAUUGCAAAGACUCUUGUGAAGAUUAAAUGAAAAUAAAAUGCAUUGUGUG
rnacentral:lncRNA from 1 species